GAUUUCCAGGUUGUUUCACUGCUACAAUAUUGCUAAUCCAUUCUGUAGGAGUUAUCACUUUCUCAAUCAAUUCAUUUGUUUCUAACUCUUUUAUCUUGUCAUUCAGGCUGGCCUGUUCUGAAGCAAUGUUUUGUUGCCUGGACUGUUCUGGAGAACCCCUGUACAAUAGCUGAGUCAUGUGCUCUGAUUCCUGGUGGGUUGCUAUAUCUUCCAUAAUACAAUAAUUGUGAAGUGCAGACCUUGCUACCAGAGAUCAGUAGACACGGAACAUUUGAAGGAUAUCCAAGAAGAUAAACUAUAAAAAUUAUGCUUCAACCUAAAGUUUGAACACAGAUCGAAAAGGUUACCAUUGAUACAUUAUCAGCUUGAUUAUAGUUUUCAAGCCAACAUCAAUUUUUUUAUACAUCAGGCUCAAUAUUCUCUCUGGUUCAAGGA